ACUCCUAUGAGGCACCUCCCCCACCCAAAAAUCUGUUCUUAUCAGCUUAAUAUCUGAUACGUUACUCAUAGAGUAACUAGAUAUUAAACUAAUUUUUGGACAGCGUAUAGACUUUAGCCUGGACAACAGGAUCAGAAAUAAACUCAUAUCUUACGGCGCCAACUUCU